GAGUUUGAUCCUGGCUCAGGAUGAACGCUGGCGGCGUGCUUAACACAUGCAAGUCGAGCGAAGCGCUUUACUUAGAUUUCUUCGGGAUGAAGAGUAUUGUGACUGAGCGGCGGACGGGUGAGUAACGCGUGGGUAACCUGCCUCAUACAGGGGGAUAACAGUUAGAAAUGACUGCUAAUACCGCAUAAGCGCACAGCUUCGCAUGAAGCAGUGUGAAAAACUCCGGUGGUACAAGAUGGACCCGCGUCUGAUUAGGUAGUUGGUGGGGUAACGGCCUACCAAGCCGACGAUCAGUAGCCGACCUGAGAGGGUGACCGGCCACAUUGGGACUGAGACACGGCCCAAACUCCUACGGGAGGCAGCAGUGGGGAAUAUUGCACAAUGGGGGAAACCCUGAUGCAGCGACGCCGCGUGAGCGAUGAAGUAUUUCGGUAUGUAAAGCUCUAUCAGCAGGGAAGAAAAUGACGGUACCUGACUAAGAAGCCCCGGCUAACUACGUGCCAGCCGCCGCGGUAAUUC
rnacentral:rRNA from 1 species